UUGGUUCUGAAGAUAAGAAACCAGCUAAAUCAGAAACCUGCACCAAACCAGCCCCUAAAUAGAACCAUUACGGUUGGAAAAGACCUCUAGGAUCCCCGUACCCAUCCUCCCCCCUCCCCAUGCCCACCUACCACACUUUCAUGGUGCUAGAUCACCUCCAGGAUGGGGAGUCCACCAUGUGGAACAAUUUAAUUACAGAAGAAUGGCCAACAAAAAUCAUCGUCUUGAUCCUGAUCCCUGUGCUCCCAAUGGAGUCUCAGCCCCAGGAAACAUCUCACUGGCCAUCACAUCAGAUUGCUCCUCUGCUGGAGAAGCUCCAUGCCACAGAGUACAUACAGAUAAGAUGCUCCAUAGGAACUGAAGAAUAGAACAAUGCUUUGAUAGUCUUCACUGCCAAAGAAUCACCUGAGUCGGAAGAGACCUCUGAAGGCCAUCUGGUCCCACUCUCUGCAGUGCACAGGGCACCCACAGCUCCAUCACAGCUCACAGCCCAUCCCCUGACGUAAGCUGAGGAUAACGUAAGUGCCUACAGCAAGAAUUAUGAGAGAGGCAAAUAUUGUCUUAUCUGUACUACCGAUCUGUUAUCAUAGAAAUACUGCAAAUUAUUUAAAUGAGCACCUGUGAAACGUGUGAUGUGGGGUAAGAUUUGGGGUAGUGCAGGACUGUGCUCUGCCAGAGGGCUGCCGGGAUAGAUGGAGGCACAAUUAAUCUCACGGGUUCUGUGAGUCCAAAGAAAGACUUCUGGCUGCACCCCGACUGGCAGGAAGGCAGCCCAGGAGGAGCUGCAGCCCAAGGCUCUGUGCCUGCAUCUCCCACUGCCACGCAGAGCUGGCAGGAGGGGCUUUCCCUCUAGAAGCUGUCAGGCAGCUGUCAGCUCCUUGCUGCAGAGUCUCUUCCCUAUGUGAAAUGCAUACACCAUCAAUGUGAGGUGUAAAGCUGGCAUGGUCUGGAUACACAGCCACUGGCAAGCCCAGCAGAACAGUUCAUUGCUGUGCAGCAGCAGCUUUAAAUACCGAUUUUUGGUCUGACACUCAUAGCUUAAAAUAGAAUAUUUUUCUUAAAAAAGGGCCAACAUUACAGUGCACAUCUGUAAGCAACUACAGAAAGGUGGGACUGCAUCUAAGUGCUACGCUGUAUUGCAAUAACA
ensembl:lncRNA